UACGGAGGAUGCGAGCGUUAUCCGGAUUUAUUGGGUUUAAAGGGUGCGUAGGCGGUCCGUUAAGUCAGCGGUAAAAUUGCGGGGCUCAACCCCGUCGAGCCGUUGAAACUGUCAGACUUGAGUUGGCGAGAAGUACGCGGAAUGCGCGGUGUAGCGGUGAAAUGCAUAGAUAUCGCGCAGAACUCCGAUUGCGAAGGCAGCGUACCGGCGCCACACUGACGCUGAGGCACGAAAGCGUGGGGAUCGAACUGG
rnacentral:rRNA from 1 species